rnacentral:lncRNA from 10 species
AAGAGAUUAAAUUGGUCCAUUCAGCAUAACAUGACUAGUUAGUGACAGUGUCAGUUGAAAUACAGGGCCCCUAACCCCCAGUAAAGUACUGUUUACAUUUAUCCUCUACUGAAAAUUAUUCCUAAAGCUGGUGGCCAGAUGCUAAGGUUGAAUCUUGGUAAUAUGAUGAGGCAUAUGUCCUUCUUAAUCUCCUCUUAAGGGAAAGACCUUUGGAAAUGGACCAUGUAGGGUAAAAUAAACAUAUAUAUUCUUGACA